UCCGAUUCCUACGGGAGGCAGCAGUGGGGAAUCUUGCGCAAUGGGCGAAAGCCUGACGCAGCAACGCCGCGUGGAGGAUGAAGGCCCUUGGGUUGUAAACUCCUGUCGGCUGGGAAGAAAUCAUACGGUGCUCAUACCACCGUGUGUUGACUGUACCAGCAAAGGAAGCCCCGGCUAACUCUGUGCCAGCAGCCGCGGUAAUACAGAGGGGGCCAGCGUUAUUCGGAAUUAUUGGGCGUAAAGGGCGCGUAGGCGGCCAUGCGUGUCUUCCGUGAAAUCCCUCGGCUUAACUGAGGACGUGCGGAAGAAACUGCAAGGCUUGAGUCCGGGAGAGGGGGGUGGAAUUCCCAGUGUAGCGGUGAAAUGCGUAGAUAUUGGGAGGAACACCGGUGGCGAAGGCGGCCCCCUGGACCGGUACUGACGCUGAGGCGCGAAAGCGUGGGUAGCAAACGGGAUUAGAUACCCCGGUAGUUCACGCCGUAAACGUUGGGCACUAGGUGUGGGGGACAUUCCACGUUUUCCGCGCCGUAGCUAACGCAUUAAGUGCCCCGCCUGGGGAGUACGGCCGCAAGGCUAAAACUCAAAGGAAUUGACGGGGGCCCGCACAAGCGGCGGAGCAUGCGGAUUAAUUCGAUGCAACGCGAAGAACCUUACCAAGGCUUGACAUGAACUGGAAAUACCUGGAAACAGGUGCCCCGCUUGCGGUCGGUUUACAGGUGGUGCAUGGUUGUCGUCAGCUCGUGUCGUGAGAUGUUGGGUUAAGUCCCGCAACGAGCGCAACCCUUGUCCUGUGUUGCCACUCCCGUAAGGGAAGCACUCUCAGGAGACCGCCAGCGAUAAGUUGGAGGAAGGUGGGGAUGAUGUCAAGUCAUCAUGGCCUUUAUGUCCAGGGCUACACACGUGCUACAAUGGACGGUACAAAGCGCUGCAAACCCGCGAGGGGGAGCCAAUCGCAAAAAACCGUUCUCAGUUCGGAUCGCAGGCUGCAACUCGCCUGCGUGAAGCUGGAAUCGCUAGUAAUGGCGUAUCAGAACGAUGCCGUGAAUACGUUCCCGGGCCUUGUACACA
rnacentral:rRNA from 1 species